rnacentral:rRNA from 1 species
GAUGAACGCUGGCGGCGUGCCUAAUACAUGCAAGUAGAACGCUGAAGGAGGAGCUUGCUCUUCUGGAUGAGUUGCGAACGGGUGAGUAACGCGUAGGUAACCUGCCUGGUAGCGGGGGAUAACUAUUGGAAACGAUAGCUAAUACCGCAUGACAACAGUUAUAGCAUGAUAACUGUUUAAAAGGGGCAACUGCUCCACUACCAGAUGGACCUGCGUUGUAUUAGCUAGUUGGUGAGGUAACGGCUCACCAAGGCGACGAUACAUAGCCGACCUGAGAGGGGGAUCGGCCACACUGGGACUGAGACACGGCCCAGACUCCUACGGGAGGCAGCAGGGGGGAAUCUUCGGCAAUGGACGGAAGUCUGACCGAGCAACGCCGCGGGAGGGAAGAAGGUUUUCGGAUCGUAAAGCUCUGUUGUAAGAGAAGAACGAGUGUGAGAGUGGAAAGUUCACACUGUGACGGUAUCUUACCAGAAAGGGACGGCUAACUACGUG